UACGUAGGGGGCAAGCGUUGUCCGGAUUUAUUGGGCGUAAAGAGCGUGUAGGCGGUUUGGUAGGUCCGCUGUGAAAACUCGAGGCUCAACCUCGAGACGCCGGUGGAAACCAUCAGGCUAGAGUCCGGAAGAGGAGAGUGGAAUUCCUGGUGUAGCGGUGGAAUGCGCAGAUAUCAGGAAGAACACCCGUGGCUAAGGCGGCUCUCUAGUACGGUACUGACGCUGAGACGCGAAAGCGUGGGGAGCGAACAGG
rnacentral:rRNA from 1 species